UCCUCCGUGGCGCAAUUGGCUAGCGCGUUCGACUGUUAAAUUGCAGGCUUCUGCAAGUAUGGCAAAUCGAGAGGUUGAAAGUUCGAGCCUUUCCGGGGGAG